rnacentral:rRNA from 1 species
UACACAGCUGCCGAAGACAAGCUUCUUUGCGAGUGUUGGCGAGACAUUGGACAAGACCCAAAGACGGGCGCCGAGCAAAAGCAUUCGACCUUUUGGACUCGUGUGCACCGCGAGUUUCAUGAGCGCAAGAAGUUUCCACCAUACCAAUUUGUGAGCACGCGCGGGUGGGUCUCCAUUUCCAAGCGGUGGAGGGUGAUCCAACAAGAGUGCAACAAGUUUUGCGCCACCCUUGAGAGCGUCAAGGCCCGCCCCGUGAGCGGCAUCGGCGUGCAAGACAUGGCAUUUCAAGCUUUGGAGGCAUUCAAGGAUCAACACAAUGGCAAGUGCUUCAACCUCUCCCUUUGCUAUCGGGUCAUCAAG